rnacentral:rRNA from 1 species
GAACGACUCUCGGCAACGGAUAUCUCGGCUCUUGCAUCGAUGAAGAACGUAGCGAAAUGCGAUACUUGGUGUGAAUUGCAGAAUCCCGUGAACCAUCGAGUCUUUGAACGCAAGUUGUGCCCGAAGCCAUUAGGCCGAGGGCACGCCUGCCUGGGUGUCACAC